CAACAAUAUGCUGGGGUUUUGUAUUUAGGCAUUAAUACAACUCUGUUCUUGCUCUUUGAGAUUUACAGGGCUGCACAAAGUACUCGCCCGCUCGCCAAAUGCGAGUAAAGAUUCCUACGGACGAUUUACAAAAUGCAACUACCAUCCUGACGGAUGUGAGUCCAGGAGAUGGAUGUGCUUGAAAUUUGAGAUGGUGGUGGUGGCAUGAUGGCAAGCAAUCCUGGUACGGUAUACCAGCUGAUCCUUCUAGUAAUACAUUUAUUACACUUUCUAAAUAAGCAUUAUUAUUGUACAUACACAUGAAAACAGUACUUGGUCACUUCACUGUACUAAACAGUGACAAAAACUUACUUCCAUGCAAUAUUUGAAAGUUUAGUGGUUAUAUCAUAAUGUUAAAUGUGUAAUAAAAGAUUAC